UGGGCGUUUUGUGAGGAACACAGCAGUAUCUGUUUGCAAACCACUUUGCUCACCUUGCAAAGGUUUCUCGGCCCCUGCCCCUCCCAAAGCCCAUUGCACCCUGCUGAUGCAGCUCAUUACUUCCAGCCUGCAAGGACAUUUCUCAUCAGUGUGGUGCUUUGCCAUUGCUCUGUGGAGGAGGAGAGGAAGCCUUAGCUCUCCUCUUUGCCAACCAGCAAGUAUUAGUCAUAAACCAGCUGAUUUGCUUCUGCUCUCGGUGUGAUUUUGAACCAGUUGGUUGUUAAAAGCUGUCAUUACCGUCCAUUACACACAAGGCUCAUAGAAGAGCUGCCCCUCGGCUCCUGAAUUGGGCAGGGAGGCCACCAGCAAGCGGUGACUGGCAGCCUUCUCAUCCCCAAGUGCUGUCAGUGCUUACUUGGCCUCUCUGGAUAUUUCAGACAAGUCUCCAGAGUGAGCUCCAGGACUUCUCCUGGCCCUUUCCUUGCAGAACCUCGGUGCUGGAGGCAACCCGUGCCUACAGUGGCUGCUGUGAGCCCUGGCAUGGGAGGGCUUGGCAACGAGAAGCAGCCUCUGCUGAUGGGACAGAGCCUUCCCUGUUGCUUUCCAGUCUCCUAUCCAGAUUGAAGUGACAUGUUCAAGGACGCUGGUGCACUAAGUUGUACUGGAGUUGUGCAGUGAGGACUCUGAUCCCACUGGCUCACAAAUAAAAGACUGAUGAAUUGCACUGA